GAUGAACGCUGGCGGCGUGCCUAACACAUGCAAGUCGAACGAAGCGAUCAAGAUGAAGUUUUCGGAUGAAUUCGAGAUUGACUGAGUGGCGGACGGGUGAGUAACGCGUGGGUAACCUGCCUCAUACAGGGGGAUAACAGUUAGAAAUGACUGCUAAUACCGCAUAAGCGCACAGUAUCGCAUGAUACAGUGUGAAAAACUCCGGUGGUAUGAGAUGGACCUGCGUCUGAUUAGCUAGUUGGUGAGGUAACGGCCCACCAAGGCGACGAUCAGUAGCCGACCUGAGAGGGUGACCGGCCACAUUGGGACUGAGACACGGCCCAAACGCCUACGGGAGGCAGCAGUGGGGAAUAUUGCACAAUGGGGGAAACCCUGAUGCAGCGACGCCGCGUGAGUGAAGAAGUAUUUCGGUAUGUAAAGCUCUAUCAGCAGGGAAGAAAAUGACGGUACCUGACUAAGAAGCCCCGGCUAACUACGUGCCAGCCGCCGCUGUAACAC
rnacentral:rRNA from 1 species